rnacentral:snRNA from 1 species
UGGAUCGGCUUCGGCGUAACAGAAUUUAUCUCUUGCCUUUUACCAGAGAUAACCAUGCGCUCGAGCACCAGCGAUCCUUAUAUAAUCUUUGGAAACCUAGUCGCAGAGAAG